rnacentral:rRNA from 1 species
AGAGUUGAUCCUGGCUCAGGAUGAACGCUAGCGACAGGCUUAACACAUGCAAGUCGAGGGGCAGCACGGGAGUAGCAAUACUUGGUGGCGACCGGCGCACGGGUGAGUAACGCGUAUGCAACCUACCUAUCAGAGGGGAAUAACCCGGCGAAAGUCGGACUAAUACCGCAUAAAACAGGGGCACCGCAUGGUGAUAUUUGUUAAAGAAAUUCGCUGAUAGAUGGGCAUGCGUUCCAUUAGGUAGUUGGUGAGGUAACGGCUCACCAAGCCGACGAUGGAUAGGGGAACUGAGAGGUUGGUCCCCCACACUGGUACUGAGACACGGACCAGACUCCUACGGGAGGCAGCAGUGAGGAAUAUUGGUCAAUGGGCGGGAGCCUGAACCAGCCAAGUCGCGUGAAGGAAGAAGGAUCUAUGGUUCGUAAACUUCUUUUGCAGGGGAAUAAAGUGCAGGACGUGUCCUGUUUUGUAUGUACCCUGAGAAUAAGGAUCGGCUAACUCCGUGCCAGCAGCGGC